AAUUCAUGAUUUGGGCAUUAAGCUAGCUUACUAUUAAACCUCUCCCAAGCUUCAAAUAAGGGCUCUCCAUUCAAUUGCCAAAAAUUCACAAUCUCAUCCCGCUUUU
rnacentral:snoRNA from 1 species